rnacentral:rRNA from 1 species
ACCCCAGACUCCUACGGGAGGCAGCAGUGAGGAAUAUUGGUCAAUGGGCGCGAGCCUGAACCAGCCAAGCCGCGUGAAGGAAUAAGGCCCUACGGGUCGUAAACUUCUUUAGUCAGGGAACAAAGGGUGCCACGUGUGGCGCUGUGAGUGUACCUGAAGAAUAAGCAUCGGCUAACUCCGUGCCAGCAGCCGCGGUAAUACGGAGGAUGCGAGCGUUAUCCGGAUUUAUUGGGUUUAAAGGGUGCGUAGGCGGAAUGCCAAGUCAGCGGUAAAAUCGCGGGGCUCAACCUCGCUCCGCCGUUGAAACUGGCGUUCUUGAGUGGGCGAGAAGUAUGCGGAAUGCGUGGUGUAGCGGUGAAAUGCAUAGAUAUCACGCAGAACUCCGAUUGCGAAGGCAGCAUACCGGCGCCCAACUGACGCUGAAGCACGAAAGCGUGGGUAUCGAACAGGAUUAGAUACCCUAGUACCG